AUCUGCCUGGCUCCCUGUAUGCCAACUAAGAAGAGUAUGGUCUAUACGUAUUUGACUUACUUUUAGUUGGCAUCAGAGGAUUCAGGCAGAG
rnacentral:pre_miRNA from 1 species